rnacentral:rRNA from 1 species
UACGGGGGGGAGCAAGCGUUUGUUCGGAUUUACUGGGCGUAAAGGGCGCGUAGGCGGCGCAACAAGUCACUUGUGAAAUCUCCGGGCUUAACCCGGAGCGGUCAAGUGAUACUGUCGUGCUAGAGUGCGGAAGGGGCUACUGGAAUUCUCGGUGUAGCGGUGAAAUGCGUAGAUAUCGAGAGGAACACCUGCGGCGAAGGCGGGUAGCUGGGCCGACACUGACGCUGAUGCGCGAAAGCCAGGGGAGCGAACGGGG